AUACGUAGGGGGCAAGCGUUGUCCGGAAUUAUUGGGCGUAAAGCGCGCGCAGGCGGUCCCUUAAGUCUGAUGUGAAAUCUCGUGGCUCAACCGCGAGCGGUCAUUGGAAACUGGGGGACUUGAGUGUAGGAGAGGAAAGUGGAAUUCCACGUGUAGCGGUGAAAUGCGUAGAGAUGUGGAGGAACACCAGUGGCGAAGGCGACUUUCUGGCCUAUAACUGACGCUGAGGCGCGAAAGCGUGGGGAGCAAACAGGAUUAGAUACCCUGGUAGUCCACGCCGUAAACGAUGAGUGCUAGGUGUUAGGGGUUUCGAUACCCUUAGUGCCGGCGUUAACACAUUAAGCACUCCGCCUGGGGAGUACGGCCGCAAGGCUGAA
rnacentral:rRNA from 1 species